CAACGGGAAAGGGGUGUUCCCAUUCGGAGGGUCGCGAAGAGCGAACCCGAGUAAAGGCGGCGGGAGGUCACCGAGAUAGUAGGAACUGCAGAUGCUGGAGAAUCCGAGACAACAAGGUGCAGGGCUGGAUGAACACAGCAGGCCAAGCAGCAUCGAGAGGCGAGUGGGCGGGACACAUUUGUAUGACGGACGGACCACUUCGGCACCUCAUAGGCAGUGGGAGAUGCCAAUCAAGGUGAGUAGCGGAACCGUCAAUAAAAACUAACGGUUUCUGCUCGAGCCUUCGGCAAAGCGGCGAGAGGAAGGAGUGGAAAACGUUGGAAAUAAAUAACACUUUGAGGGAAGGCGGGUGAAGAAACAGUACCAAUGUUCCAGACUUUUAUCAGAGUUAUUGUGACUCCGCCCUUCAAGAAAGUGCAGACCAAUUCCCUCAACAUCUGUGUUUAGGACGCUGCUGGUUUUAACCAGUGAAGGCACAGAAACUUGCACUUUCAAAAUGACAGUGCACGCGAGCAGUGUCAAUAUAUUUUUGUGGAAGAUAGGCCACGUUUGAGUAAUUUUUUUUCCGUGAAUGAAGAGGAACCCGAGGAUAUGCUGUACUUGAUAAGGUGCCGAGAACAAAACGGGGAGGAGGCUACCUUAGGAAUUAUCAAGAAAUUGGGAGUAGCUGUAAAUUGGUCACUUUCGGGUUAGCAAGGCAAACGCAAAGUGAAAUACUUUUAUUUGUUUGGAUGAGUGCAACACCAACAACAUUCAGAAGCUCCACGCCAUCCAGGACAAAAGUGGCCCACCUGAUCCGCACCCUAUCCAUUAACUUUAAAAAUUUACUCUCUUCACCACCAAAAACGCAGCAGCAGUGUGUGCUACCUAUAAGAUCUCACCAAGGCACCUUCCAAAUCUGCAGUCUUUACUGUCUAGAAGGACAAGUGCAAAAGGAGGACCAAAGGUGGUCCAGUGCACCACCUGGUAGGUCAGGACGGGCUAUCUACUAGCUCAUGCGCAGUUCGUGAAGGGCUCGUGGUAGACAGUGCAAGGGCAAUGGGUUGCAACUGAGGAAAUUUUGUCCUGUCCCACACAGUUCCUUGAGACACUUUUUUUUUCCAAAUUUCAUCCAGCUAUCCCUUUAAGGACUGUUAGGUCUACUGUUCAAACCUGGUACAAUUUGGCACAAUGUAAAUGGUGCCAGGCCCUCGCCCACUUUGAAUUUGAAUUUCCCAUACAGAGUAUAGGAUUGUGGUUUACAUAUUUAAGCUGGGGUGCUACACAAUCAAGUCAUUAUGACCUCUGGUAUACCUCAGAUCCAGAAUGGCUGUGAUACAGCAAUAUGUAAAAUAAGGAAUGGUAUAGCUCAAUUUACUGGAGCAAAAGAGCUAAAUCACUAGGUUAAAUUUUGAUGCAUAAGGGCACAUCUCAUGAACAGGCCUAGUGGAUAUUUACUGGAAAAACCAAGACACUCCGUGGUAAGAGUACAGCUAUAAUUGGUAUAAUUGCUAGUGUUAGUAAAAAGAACUUGAGAAACUCCCAUUCUGCACGCUAAACAUGCUCCAAGACAGGGUUGUCAACUACACUCUCCACCCAUUAUGCGGCAAAGUGAGGCUUUUCAUUAAAUGUAAGAUUUUAAUCAGAUGGACAUUAGGACACUGCAGCAGUCAUUAACUGAGCACAUAAUUCCACUGUCUGACACAAUGCAUAAUAAUAUCAAAAAUAAAUAGAAAACUCUGAGGGAAAAGCAAUCCUUCACAUUGUAAGAAUUUAUAACUGAGUACUAUGAUGUUUUUUUAAAAUUCAUUCACAGGAUGUGGGUAUCACUGGCUAGGCCAGCAUUUAUUGCAAUAAAGAGACACAUGUUUAAGGAGCUGAUAGGAUAUUAAAAAAGUUUUAGUUGCUGCACCAAAGCUGCAUACUGUGUAGCAACUACUCCCUGCUACUUCUGAUAGAACUACAGUAAUUGCACUGUUUUUCACUUUUAGUCCUGUCCCCUACAUGCAGUUUGUUUCUUCAAGAUUGUUUGUAAGAUUCACCCCAUUCUUCAUGUGGCAAACAUGAUCUGAUCGCCACAGGCAGCGAUAUCUUAUUGAACCACGCUAACCUAGCACUUCUAUAUGAUGAUUCAUAAACUUGUCUUCAGCCAUACUUGUUAAUCUUCCAACUUAGAGAAGCUCAUGAGAAGGUUGUUCACUGUGCACUGCAGACUUGGCACCUUCUUGUGACAUGGGUACAUGUGGUGGGUUUGGGCAGAUACUACCCUGCAGCAGAGCAAUUCAAGAAGGUUGCUUCACAAAACUAGAAACAUGCAGGAAAUCCAUCUUCAAUAAUGCAUUGCAAGUUACUAUGCAUCAGGAACUAUUUGAAUAUUUGGAAUCCACUUAUGUUUAUUCUCAGUAAGUGGCAUAGCAAGAGACCAACAGACUGGUUGAAUUACCAAAUAUAAUACCCUCCAGAUUAACACAGAGUACACCAGUGACUGCAACAGCAUCCACACAACAUGGAAACCACUGAAAGAACUGCUAAAAGACAAUGUCAUGCAAAACAUUAUUAUAACAUUGUAAAUAAAAUAACACUGCAAUUGCAAAAUAAGUAACUUAUAGUUACAGAAAACAUAGUGAAAGAGAUUUAUUAUUUUUAUUGGGUCAGCAAAACUCAUCUUGAUUUUAAAAAAAAAAAAAAAAAAUUUGUAAUACCACAGCUUUUAGGUCAUGCUGCAAAAGACAAGUCUUAAAACUGCAGCAGUUGAUAGUGUCAAGUGAAAUUAGUGGAUAGUGGCAACAAUGAUGUCAUUCCAAAAGUGAAUGUUUGUUGGUGAGGAGGAAUAGAAGACUACUUUAUUUAGGAAUAAAACAUGCUAUUUGAGCUCUCUUGGGAAUUUAAAUGAGAUUUAGUUUUCCUUUUAAUUUCUGAUAUUGUUAAUCUUGUAAUAUAUUUGAAGAUAUUGUUAAUAACUUGGCUAUUGCGUGGAUACUAAUGGAAAUGUUGACUAUGAACUCAUCAAGGUGUUACCGCACAUGUCGUCUACUUCCUUUCAAAUGCAUUACAGACCAGGUACUUUGUUUUCUUACAUUUUGCAGAAGUUUAAUGCUUAUUUUUGCAUACUCUAAAUGCUGAUACUGUUCCCUUUCAAUGUAUUUUCCUGACAGCAAACUCUGCACAUUAUACCUUGAUGGUUGCUCAUUACUGAAGUCCUUGGUAUUCAACUCAGACCAAAUACUUGAGGCCUAAGCCUUGAAGAUCAGAACAAAUAUCUUGAAAGUACAUUAAAUAUGAAUAUGCUGCCAGAACCUGAUGAGCUUCUCCAGCAUUCUCUAUGUUUGUUCCCUCCCGAAAGAACAUACGUGGACCAGAAUCCAAAAUCUUCACGGUCACUGUGCCAACAAUAGCAUGGUGGCUCAAGAUUUUCUUAAAAUUGAAUUAAAAUUCUCAAAACUCCAUGGUGAUGCAUUUUGGAAGAUCCAAUUUCAACAGCGAAC